AUUGAACGCUGGCGGUAUGCUUAACACAUGCAAGUCGAACGGCAGCAUGGUCUAGCUUGCUAGACUGAUGGCGAGUGGCGGACGGGUGAGUAACGCGUAGGAAUAUGCCUUGAAGAGUGGGACAACUUGGGGAAACUCAAGCUAAUACCGCAUGUACUCGAGAGAGUUAAGCUGGGGACCUUUAGGCCUGGCGCUUUAAGAUUAGCCUGCGUCCGAUUAGCUAGUUGGUAGGGUAAAGGCCUACCAAGGCGACGAUCGGUAGCUGGUCUGGGAGGAUGAUCAGCCACACUGGAACUGAGAGACGGUCCAGACUCCUACGGGAGGCAGCAGUGGGGAAUAUUGGACAAUGGGGGGAACCCUGAUCCAGCAAUGCCGCGUGUGUGAAGAAGGCCUGAGGGUUGUAAAGCACUUUCGGUGGGGAGGAGGUUUGGAAGGUUAAGAGCUAUUCAAAUGGACGUUACCCACAGAAGAAGCACCGGCUAACUCCGUGCCAGCAGCCGCCGUAA
rnacentral:rRNA from 1 species